rnacentral:miRNA from 12 species
AUGUGUGUGUGUGUGAGUGAGUGUGAGCUGGUCUGCGUGUGCUCAGACAUACACACACACACACACACACACACACA